UAAUCACUUAAUUAUGAUGAAAGACCAAAAGUGUUAUCAACGUUAUAUCCAAAUUCCCAAAGUGAGAAUUAAACUUUGAUUAGUUUAUUUUACCCAGUUUAACCUAGUCAACAGUAGAUAGGGAAACACAAAUCCCUUUGAACAUAUUUUACAAUUUAAAACUAACGAGAUUAACUUGCAACCAAUUUUGGACCUGUUCUCAUUGCCACGGAACUCAAAGAGGUAUUCAACUCAUAGUGUAAAUCUAAAAUAUGACAAGGGCUGUACAAAUUACUGAGUUCAAUUCGCGAGCACUACAACCUUAUUCGAAUCUCAAUGACCACACAAUUAUAGAGUUCGAUUCAGUGACUACCAGUCCAACCUACUUAAUCAUAGUCCAAUUACAGUCUAGAAAUAGAAAUAGUUCCAGUCAACAGUCUCUUGGUGAUUCAAAUCUAAACAAAGCACAUAUACAUCGAUACUCACUACUUGAAGAACACAGAGCAAUCACUACAAUUGCAUUUUUCAUUUCAAGUUGGAGCUACAUCAAUGUGUUUCGAGCGUGUACCUGGAAUUCAAAUGAAAUAAGAGAAGAAGGAAUCAGUGACAGAGCAGAUAAGCAAUAGUAGUUUGGAUUUCAAGCAGCGACACACACAUCUUGUUCAUCCCAGAAACAAUCCAAUAGUCUAGAAGUAUAUAAAAACCCAAUAGAACAGUAUAUUCAACCAAAACAGUACCAAACAUUCAGCAGUUGACUCGGAUUUAAAAUCAGUCGAUUACCAACCCUCAGCAGCUAAGAAGAAGCUAGAUGAAAAUCAGAAUCAAACUGGCCCUUUCUCAAUAAAACAAUAAUUUUGUUGGAUUUUUUUAUUGAUUUUUUUUUUUGCUUGUUUUUGGUUUUUUGGAGUUUACUACUGUUUUUGUUUUUGAUUUUCAAUAUUUUGGAGUUUGGAUCUCAGGUUUCAGAUCUGAAACUUGUAGAGAGUUGGAAGAAAAUUUGUGAGGCUCCAAAGCUUGUGAAUCAAGUAAAGGGCAUGCCCGUUUAUACGCACAAAUGAGGGCAGCCCUCAGAUUUUCCAGUUUUCC
rnacentral:lncRNA from 1 species